AUCCCAAGAAAGCAAGCAGUUUAGUUUUGCUUUCGAACCUUCCUGUUUCUCCCUUUACUUAUUAGCCCAAUAAAAUCAAAUAUCACGUCCUCCCUCCUGUCUUUACAGUUUUCUAACUCAGACUUGCCAGGCGCUUCGAAGCUGUUUGGAAGCGUCCAGACGCCCUCCAGUGGUGGGCCUGAAGUCCGCACCCAGCGGGGGUAUUGCCUGCAGCUCAGCCCGGAUUGAGUUCCAUGGAGAAACUGGGGUCAAGAUCAGUAACGACUUGAAGAGAAAGCAACAGCUCACAUCGGCAUGGAACUACCUGGACGUAAUGAGCUCUUGCCUAAAAGUUGAGUCGUUUCUCAGUUGCAGAAAUUUUUCCUACCUGAAAAGAUCCUGAAAUUUUCCUAGGAAAGUAAUUCCUCUAUUUAUGACUAGGUAUAAAUUGCACCCUGUGUAAUUAUAGACUUCGUGACAGACCACCCCAACAAACCAACCACCUUCCUAAUUAAAAAAAAGAAGAAAAUUCGGCGUAUUAACACAAAUGUUUGUCUGCCAUUUCUAUAUUUCACAAAAACUCCAGGAGUGAGAAAGAAGUUGGAAAACCAAAGCCAGUAGAUUGAAGGAUAAGCAGUUAGUUUUUAAAUCAAAUUUUUAUUUAAAACUUUAUUUACAAAACCCCCUUAUGCCCCCCCCCCAUCUGUAAUCUUGCUGAUGUUCAAGUUCUUGGCCUGUUUUAUGGUGCAUUUGUUUUUUUCCUUUGCAGGGAUGAUGCAUCGCUUAGCCUUUCUGAAGGAGCUGUACUAAGUGCUCAGAUGACUGAGGCAGUUUUGCAGGAAAUGUUCUGGACUCUUUUAAGGGACAUGUGUAGCUUUAGGAAGAAGAGAAUUCACACUCCUGUCUUGGGGAAAAUGCUGAUCCUCAUCAGAAAGUCUUUUUAGUCAGGGAAAUAUCAGGUAUCAGGGAGUUAGCAAGCUGGCUUCCUGUGGUGUCAAAGCCAAAGGACUAAAGAAAAAGAAAUUAUAUCCAGUUAUUUCUAUUUGAAACUCAUACUGCAAAUGUGAAAAUUCAACAUAUCAAAAGAACGUAGAUGUCCUAAUAUUUUCAAUAUCUCUAAUUUGCUUAAAGUCUGGAUAAUCCAAUUUUAAACAGAAAAAAAAAAUCAUACGUUAUGGUCUUAAAAUGAUUCAAGGAGUUGGAAUAAAAGAUACUGGAAUUUACAACUGUUUCAGAAUAUAACUCAAAUGUCUCUGUAAAAUAAUUCAUAAAACAAAUGCCUCCUUCUGGGAUGAUAUACCUAAGUAAUUAUUGUUAUUGGAGUAACUAAGCAGCAAUGUGAUAGAUACAUACUUAGAUAGAAGGACUUUGAAGAGC
rnacentral:lncRNA from 1 species